rnacentral:rRNA from 1 species
GGGAAUAUUGCUUAAUGGGCGAAAGCCUGAAGCAGCAACGCCGCGUGAACGAAGAAGGCCUUCGGGUCGUAAAGUUCUUUUACGUGGGAUGAGGAAGGACAGUACCACGAGAAUAAGUCUCGGCUAACUACGUGCCAGCAGCCGCGGUAAAACGUAGGAGACGAGCGUUAUCCGGAUUUACUGGGCGUAAAGCGCGUGUAGGAGGCGCUACAAGUUGGAUGUGAAAGCUCCCGGCUUAACUGGGAGAGGUCAUUCAAGACUGUAGUGAUAGAGUGAGGCAGACGGGGAAGGAACGCCGGGAGUAGUGGUGAAGUGCGUAGAUAGCCGGAAGAACACCAGAGGAGAAAGGGAUGUAGUGGGCCUAAACUGACGCUGAGACGCGA